AUGAAUAUCUUGGCCUGGAACUGUCGGGGAUUGGGGUUGGACUCGACAGUUGGCGAACUCAGAGACCUGAUACGGUCGUAUAACCCGGCGGUGGUGUUUUUAAGUGAGACAAAAAAGACGGCUAGGGCCUUGGAGAAACUGAAGUGGAGUUUGGGGUUCAGAGAGGGGGUGGCUGUUGAUUGCAAGGGAAGGAGUGGUGGUACUGCUCUUUGGUGGCGUGACAAUGCGCAGGUGACAGUCCGGCCUUGGUGCCAAUAUGUCAUAGAUGUCGUGGUUGCUUUCGAGGGCAAGGCCUAUAGAAUCACUAGGUUCUAUGGGAGCCUAAAACAGAACUUCGUUCUAAAUCAUGGGAUGCUUUGA
rnacentral:rRNA from 1 species